rnacentral:rRNA from 1 species
UGGGGGAUAUUGCACAAUGGGCGAAAGCCUGAUGCAGCGACGCCGCGUGGGGGAUGAAGGCUUUCGGGUUGUAAACCUCUUUCGCUAUCGAACAAGGCCCGCUUAGGGUGGGUUGAGGGUAGGUGGAGAAGAAGCGCCGGCUAACUACGUGCCAGCAGCCGCGGUAAUACGUAGGGCGCGAGCGUUGUCCGGAAUUAUUGGGCGUAAAGGGCUUGUAGGCGGCUUGUUGCGCCUGCUGUGAAAACGCGGGGCUUAACUUCGCGCGUGCAGUGGGUACGAGCAGGCUUGAGUGUGGUAGGGGUGACUGGAAUUCCAGGUGUAGCGGUGGAAUGCGCAGAUAUCUAGAGGAACACCGAUGGCGAAGGCAGGUCACUGGGCCAUUACUGACGCUGAGGAGCGAAAGCAUGGGUAGCGAACAGG